rnacentral:rRNA from 1 species
GACGAACGCUGGCGGCGUGCUUAACACAUGCAAGUCGAACGGACAGACCCUGCUUUUGUUGCGUGCUCGAGUGGCGAACAGGUGAGUAACACGUGUGUAACCUCCCCUUGUCUUUCUGAUAACUUCAGGAAACUGGGGCGCAUACCGGGUAGAAGCUCCUGCUGCGUGGUGUUGAUUGGAAAGUUUCGGCGGUUGGGGAUGGACUAGCGGGUUAUCAGCUUCUUGGUGGGGUAGUGGCUUACCAAGGCUUUGACGGGUAGCCGGCCUGAGAGGGUGACCGGCCACCAUGGGACUGAGAUACGGCCCAGACGGCUACGGGAGGCAGCAGUGGGGAAUAUGGCACAAUGGGCGGACGUCUGAUGCAGCAACGUCGGGUGCGGGAUGACGGCCUUUGGGGUGUAAACCGCUUUCGCCGGUGACGAAGCGUGAGUGACGGUAAUGGGUAAAGAAGCACCGGCUAACUACGUG